CCCCUUUCAUCCCCUUCAACAUAAAAUUUCAGAAACAUAAAAUUUCAGAAACAGAAAAUUAGAGAGAAGAAAGCUCGAGAAAGAAGAUCGGGAAGAGAGGGAGCUGCGCCACGCCGCCGCCUUGGAGUUCGCAUUAGGUCCAAGUCGAAGAAAGAGAGAGGCGUCGAGUCAGCAUUGCACAGAGAGGGACUCGCCGCUGCUAUCGCGCGCCGUCGUGUGUCCUCGCUGCUGUCUGAGUAGUAAUCAUCACCUUGGGUGGAGUCCGCUGUUGUCGCCAGUUGAAGCCAUUGCUGUGGAACAGAGGUGAGAGAGAGGUGUCGAGAGGGAAAACACGAUGAAGAAGGAGGCGUUGUUUCCACCGUCGUCAAGCCGCAACGCCGUCGCUGUCAUCGGUUGGAGUCGCCGUCAUUAUCGAUGAUGGAGCCGUCGCCAAAGCCUGUGUCGCCAUCGUCCUUGCCCGCAGCGAGAGAGAAGCAAGAUGAAUCCUUUCCGUUUCUGCUGCUCUGGUCCACUGAGAAAGGGAAGAUGCCGCCAUUGUGCUUCACGGUCGCCGAUGAUGCAGCCCGCGUUGCCGAAACUGCUCGGAAGUUUUCGUUACUCAUUCUGAUUCUGUCCUAUUUCGGGAAUAUUGCUGCUGCCACUAGUUUUGAAUUCUAUUACAUGGAUUCUCAGUUAUGUUUGCUUUUGAUUCUUCUCCAAUUCGAAUCCUUGUCUUGUUGAAAACAUUGUCACUGCCAUAAGAGAUUGACAAUGCUGCUGUUUUGGUUGCGUGCUUGCUGCUGCAAUAAAAUUAAAAGAGGGGAAGAACGUCGGAUGGUGAGUGUCUUCUUAGCCGUCGCCGUUCCGGUUCCAAUUCUUUCAUUUUCAAAAUCGUAACCCCUUUCACUCUUGUUCUAUUUUAAAUUUUUUUCUCUGCUAUGUUCCUGUUUUACUCAUGGUAGCAUGUAUCUCUAAUUUAAUUCAGCCCCUUUGCUUCACCUGUUUGUCUACUGCAAUCAUCUAGAAUAUUAGCGUUGGUGCUAUUACGGGUCUGUUAGAGUUGCCCUCAGUGAGUCCGAUGCUACUUCUUUGUUUCUAGAGUGAUCUUCUCCUUGAUUAUGGCCUAUUUACACAUUUUAUUGUUACUGUUAUGCUUGUUCUAAGUCGAUUAUGGUAUAUACCUUGUUUUGAAAUCCCCAGGCAGUAAUUGCUUUUAAUUCCUAUCCAAUUUGGAUCCUCUGUUUUGCUACAACUAUGGUUACCACUGUGAGAGCUAACACAGCUGCUAUUCUGAUUGUGUUAAAACGCAAGGCUGCUACUAUGGUUGAACUUGUUGAGUGGUUAGUAGUGGUCUAGCCAGCUGUCUCGCAGUAAUUUCGCCUCCGGUUUCUUUUAAUUGCGACAUCGAGGUAGGGAUUUGUUUUAAUAAAAAAAUGUUUUGGGGCUUUGAAUACCUGAUAAGUUUAGUAGAUUAAUGCAAAUGGAUAAGUGUCUGUGAUAUAAGUGAUUUUCUAUUGAGAUUGAUAUGUUGUAUUUGCUAUUGAGUUAGUUGAUUCCUGAAUUCUGGUGAAAUUGAUUGAAUGCAUUGAUUUUAGAAUUUUUAUAGAAAUUGAUAAUAAAUAGUUUUGAAUAAUAGAUUUGGAAUUGUUAAAUUGAAAGGUUUGUUUUAGUUGUGUUGAGAAUUGAAAAGAAAGGACCCAUGACGGGUGGCAAACUCCGGCUUUUAGGGGAGGUGCUGUCGAAAUUUUUCUAAAGAAUUUGGAGUUGAUUAUUCCUGAAUUUUUGGUAAAAUUGAUUGAAUGCAUUGAUUUUGGAAUUUGGAUAUAAAUUUAUAAUAAAUGGUUUUGAAUAAUGGAUUUGGAAUUGUUAAAUUGAAAGGCUAGUUUUGGUUGUGUUGAGGAUUGAAAAGAAAGGACCCGUGAUGGGUGGCAGACUCCAGUUUUUAGGGGAGGUGUUGCCGAAAUUUUUCUAAUAAUUUGGAGUUGAUUUGGUUAAGAUUUCAAAAACGGAUGUUCUGAGGGAUUUCAAAGAAAAUCGGAUUUCUAUGAUUUGAUUGAUUUAUGAUUUUAACUUAUUCAAUUUUUCAUAAUACCAAAAAGAGAUUUUGUUAACUAGUCAAAGACUUUAAAACAGUAAUUUAAAUAUAAAUUCAAGCAUUUGGGAAUAGGAGUGUGAGUUUGAAGGUUAUGCUUGAGACUAAGAGUGAUUGUGAUGAUGAAUAGUAAUUAAAUAUGAUGAUGAAGGAUGAUGAUAGGCGAGUUUAAUAAUAUUGAGAUUGAGAAUGAGAUUGAAUAUGAGAUUAAGAAUGAGAUUGGAUACGAGAUUGAGAGUGGGAUCAAUGAUGAGAUUGAUUAUAAUUAUGAAAUGAUAGUGAAUAUGAUUCUGAUUGUGAUGCGCCUACCUAGGUGAUAGCAAGGACUGUAUUUGUUAGUGAAUUAUGGCUUGUUGUGUAUUAUAUUGUGAGCCGGAUGGCUAUGGUACAUAUUGAUUUAUGGUGGAGUAUGUAUAAACAUAUGAUUGAAUGAGAUAUAGGUGCCGGGUAAGAGGCGGUGGAAAUGACCACUCGCUCUGGGUAUAUGAUUAAGAAGUGUAAAGAUGUUGAGAAUGUAUGGAAAAUGAAUUAAUGAAUUAAUGAUUAUGAAGGAAUUAAAAUAAUAAUGAAAAUUAACGUGAAUUUGAUUGUGAUAUGCCUCCGGGUAAGAGGCAAGGACACCGAGUAAGAUGUAGUGGUGUUAUCUACUUGCUCCGAGUAUGAAUUGUGAAUGAAUUGAUGUAUGAAAAUGAAUUGUAAUGAUAAUAAAAAUGUGUUUCUGAAUGUGAUUCCGGGUAAGAUGCAGUGGUAUUAUCAAUCCUCUCCGGAAUAGUUCGAGGCUUCAGGUAAGAUGCAAGGGCUAUGUUUUUUCGCUGCUUGCUCCGGAUCGAGAACUGUAACACCUCCUGGUAAGAGGCAGUGGUGAGGUUGUCCCCUGCUCCGGGUACGCGGGUAAGAUGCAAGGGUUACGGCGAUGUCCUACUUGCUCCGUGUUUGGUGUUCUGUCGACGGUUAGCUAUCAGGACUUGUCGGGUUGGCUUUAUAAUCGAUAGAUGAGUCUCAUCAGUCAUAGACAGGCAUGCAUCAUUUGUAUUUAUGUGUAUUAUUUGGGUGUGAAUCUUAUUUGUGGGUUUACUUAAUUGAAUAAUUGCAUCUACCUGCUAAUUGACCUAAUUGCUCUAUCUGUACUCUCUAAUUGUGUAUGCCUUAUUUUGUCUUGUCUGUGUUUGACAACUGAGAGAUCCCUCAUGCUGGCGGUGGUAACGCUAAGGGUUGUACUUGAUAUUAAUAACGAGAUGUUUGCUAAAAAUUUGAGUUUAAUACUGAAUUGCUGAGUGAUAUGCUAAUAGACUGUGGUAAUGGAAGAGAUAGGCUGAACGAAGUGUUGGAUAAAAGAUUGAGAAUACAUGUUGUAGCUAUACUCGGUUUCAGAUUAGAAUGGAGUAGGUUAUCAGGUAGGAAGCCCUUUUGAUACGCUUGUGGUCCUUUUCAAUUAUAAAUUAUUCACCGUACUAUUUUGUAAUCUAAAGAAGUUUCUUUACGACUUUUCACAAUAAUACUUUCCAUAAGGCAUUUUUCAAAAAGGUUAUUUCAAGGAUGAACUACUUUUAAAAUGAAACUAAUUCUAUUUGCAAGUAUUCUUUGCUUUGAGGGUAUUUCCGUCUCCACUGAGAACGUGUGGUUUGUUUUCACCCCAAUAUCUUCCAUCCUUUCAGUGACACAGGUUCGAAGACUUAGCUUGAAGCUGCGAGCGAUUAUUGACUUUACUUAUGAGUUAAGUUACUUUCAUAGAGUUUCCUCACUUGUUUCUUAAAAAUUCUUAUUUUAUAAAGAGGGAUAGGUGUUGUAUCUGAGAUUUGUUUUGAUUUACUUGUAUAAGACUUAUUAUUAUUAUUAUUAUUAAUUAUGUGAUUAUUAUUA